CAUUGCUCUGACGGAUGCUUUUAUUAGACCAAGCCGCUGAGGACUUGAGAGUUCGAUCUCUUGUCUGACUCGUGUAAUGGUGACUCUGGAUAACCAAAUUUCUGACAAGCGCACGUACUUCUCUUCUGAGCGAGACGGCGCUGCCACUUUCGAGUGUCUGCCUUAUCAGCUAUCAACCGUUCGUUAUGCGCGACCGAUGGCUUUGACGGGUAACGGGGAAUCAGGGUUCGAUUCCGGAGAGGCAGCCUGAGAGACGGCUACCACGUCCAAGGACGGCAGCAGGCACGCAAAUUACCCAAUCCCAGCAAAUGGGGGAGGUAGUGACGAAAUCUAACGAUGCGGGCGCCCUUUCUGGGGCCCCGCAAUCGGAAUGGGCACUUUCUAAACAACCUGUUGAGAACCUACUGAAGGGCAAGUCUGGUGCCAGCAGCCGCGGUAAUUCCAGCUUCAGCAGCAUCUAUUAAAGUUGCUGCGGUUAAAAGGCUCGCAGUUGAAUGUCUGUAUCGAGCGCAGGUCAGGUGGACGUUGGGGCGUGGAAGUACGGGCAGUUGGAUGUCCGGAGAGCCUUCGUGCUCAACGGCUCCUUCGGCUUUUCCACACACCCCCGUCCGUGACAAGCCUCCUCGCUCGGGUACAUAACGGGAAUCGGUCAAACGGAGUGUGGUCGGAGGUUGAGGUGCGUGGCUUCGGUUGCGUGUUUCUUCUUUCGGCUGCGUUAAGCUCCAUCGGUUUCACGGUCACCUUGAGUAAAUCAGAGUGCUCAAAGCAGUCGUAGGGGCCUUGCGCCCUGUGAACAGUCUUGACGGACUGACUUGGUUUUGCAUGGCAUGUCGGAAGACGACGUCGUGUGCUGGCUCAGAGGAUAAAUCAGUGGUACAAGCCAGCCUCGACGUAAUGAUUAAAAGGGACGGUCGAGGGCAUUGGUAUUGCGAGGCGAGAGGUGAAAUUCUGUGACCCCCGCAAGACCUCCUGAAGCGAAAGCGUCUGCCAAGGACGUUUUCAUUAAUCAUGAACGAAAGUUAGAGGAUCGAAGGCGAUCAGAUACCGCCCUAGUUCUAACCCUAAACGAUGCCAACCAUCAAUCCGCGCGUAGCACCCUUCUUAACGGGCUCGGCGGGCAGCUCCCCACUCACGGGAAACCAGAGCCUCUGGGUUCCGGGGGGAGUCUGGUUGCAAAGCUGAAACUUAAAGGAAUUGACGGAAAGGCACCACCAGGCGUGGAGCCUGCGGCUUAAUUUGACUCAACACGGGCCAUCUCACCAGGCCAGCACUCUUGUACGAUUGACAGAUUGAGAGCUCUUUCUCGAUUCAGUGGAUGGUGGUGCAUGGCCGUUCUUAGUUGGUGGAGUGAUCUGUCUGGUUAAUUCCGAUAACGAACGAGACUCUCCCCUGCUAACUAGUCGGUUGGAUCUUGAUCAGCGGGUUGCGUGCCGAGUAACUCUCGCUGUGCGGGGUUCGUAGCUGGGCCUCACGGUUCGUUGCGGCCUCGCGUGGUGUUGGAUGCCUUGGAUCACACUGCACCCCAAGUCCGCCGCUUUGCUAUAACUCUUCUUAGAGGGAUUCACGGCACUGAAGCCGUAAGAGACUGAGAGCAAUAACAGGUCUGUGAUGCCCUUAGAUGCUCUGGGCCGCACGCGCGCUACAAUGCCGGGCACAGCAGGUGUUUCUCCUUCUCCGACAGGAGCGGGUAACCCUCUGAAAGCCAGUGUUCUUGCAAGUGCUUCCUCCCUCGUGGAGUUGCACAGAGGCGUGCUUGGGCCUGGGACUUGCAAUUCUUUCCCACCAACGAGGAAUGCCUAGUA
rnacentral:rRNA from 1 species